rnacentral:misc_RNA from 1 species
GAUGAAGAACGUAGCGAAAUGCGAUAAGUAGUGUGAAUUGCAGAAUUCAGUGAAUCAUCGAAUCUUUGAACGCACAUUGCGCCCCAUGGUAUUCCGUGGUGCAUGCCUGUUCGAGCGUCAUUUACCCCCUCAAGCUCCGCUUGGUGUUGGGCGUCUGUCCCGCUUCGCGCGCGGACUCGCCCCAAAGGUAUUGGCAGCGGUCGUGCCAGCUUCUCGCGCAGCACAUUGCGCUUCUCGAGGCACCGGUGGGCCCGCGUCCAUCAAGCUCACCCCCCCAGUUUGACCUCGGAUCAGGUAGGGAUACCCGCUGAACUUAAGCAUAUCAAUAAGCGGAGGA